GGGGGUAAAGGGACUGGACAGUCAGGCAUUGGCGUUUUCCUGCCUCGGCCCAGAAAUGAAACAAGUCACUCCUGUACAUGUUUUGUGGGCCAGAACUAGUCCUAUGAUUCCACUUAACUUCAAUGAAACUGAAAAGUAUGACUUUCCACACGCCCAGAAGAAGAGGAAGGCCACAUAGUGGUGAAUGCUGGCGAUGUCCCCCAAUCAUGGACUGCAAGCUCUUUGGGGCCAUGCUCAUUGUUGUGAUUCUCUCACUAGCCCUAGUAUCUGGCACACAGCGGACCCCAACUGCUGAAUUGAUCACUGAGUGAAUGAAUGAAUGAAUCAAUCAAUCAAUCAAUGAAACAGCAUUUGCAUGCUGAACUUUCAAACUGAACCUAUAGAGUGAUGGGAAAUAUCACACACAUGAAUGGAAAAAAAAAAUGGCCUCAGGCAUCCAGGUUUCAUCGAACAUCUCAUGCAGUUUGACUUGGACUGAUUACAACUUUGGAGAACGCAGAGCCAAGGUGAGUGGAUCCUAGAGUUACCCGUGGCAUUGCCACAAGCCCGGAGUCCCUCUACAACAGCUCCAGGUUACUGGGGAGAUGGCCAGAGGUUCAAGUGGAUGGUGCACUCUCCAUGCAAAGGGCGGGACAGCUGACAUAAAACAAGGUGGGCUUUUCUGGGACAGACACCUGGGGUCAAAGGCCACUAGGCUGAGGACUUCUAAUUCCGAGGAAGAAUGUCUGGGGAAGGGAGCAAAAGGGUACUCCAGAAGCAAUAGGAUGUCAGUGGGGUUAUCUCCUCAGAGUCCUAUUCAAAUGUCCGGAGAGCGGUAGCUGCCAUACCUCCCAAAGAGCUUCACUCGUUCCUCUC